UACGUAGGGAGCAAGCGUUGUCCGGAAUCAUUGGGCGUAAAGCGCGCGUAGGCGGCCCCGUAAGUCCGCUGUGAAAGUCAAAGGCUCAACCUUCGAAAGCCGGUGGAUACUGUGGGGCUAGAGUCCGGAAGAGGCGAGUGGAAUUCCUGGUGUAGCGGUGGAAUGCGCAGAUAUCAGGAGGAACACCAAUAGCGAAGGCAGCUCGCUGGGACGGUACUGACGCUAAGGCGCGAAAGCGUGGGGAGCGAGCAGG
rnacentral:rRNA from 1 species